CCAAAGUACACCAUGAAACCACAAGAUGUACUAAGAAACAAGAAGAAAAACAGGAGUGGAAGGGUUGUUCGUCGGGGGCUUUGCUUUUUGCUUUUAUUAGUAUUUUUUUUUUUUGAAAAACGAUUUUUGUUUGUUUGUUUGUUCUUC
rnacentral:ribozyme from 12 species